AUUGAACGCUGGCGGCAGGCCUAACACAUGCAAGUCGAGCGGAGCGGCGGACGGGUGAGUAAUGCCUAGGAAUCUGCCUGGUAGUGGGGGAUAACGUCCGGAAACGGGCGCUAAUACCGCAUACUAUCAGAUGAGCCUAGGUCGGAUUGGUUAGGUGGUGGGGUAAAGGCCUACCAAGGCGACGAUCCGUAACUGGUCUGAGAGGAUGAUCAGUCACAAUGGACUGGAGACACGGUCAAGACUCCUACGGGGGGAGGCAGUGGGGAAUAUUGGACAAUGGGCGAAAGCCGGAUCCGGCCAUGCCGCGUGUGUGAAGAGGGUCUUCGGAUGGUAAAGCACUUUAAGUUGGGAGGCGUUACCAACAGAAUAAGCACCGGCUAACUUCGUGCCAGCAGCCGCGGUAAUUC
rnacentral:rRNA from 1 species